CCGGGAUCCUCGCAUGACGAAGCAGGCGACGAGCGCGUCGACGGUGUCGGAGGCGGCGGAGAGCGCGCGGCGGGUGACGCCGAUGAAGCUGCUGGUGCGCGUGGUGGAGGCGCGGGGCCUCCCCGCCGUGCACCUCAACGGCUCCAGCGACCCCUUCGUGAAGCUCAAGCUGGGGAAGCGCCGCGCCAAGACGGCCGUCGUGAAGCGCAGCCUGGCCCCCGCGUGGGACGAGGAGUUCAGCUUCCUCGUCGGCGACGUCGCCGAGGAGCUGGUGGUGUCGGUGCUCAACGAGGACAAGUACUUCAGCAACGACCUGCUGGGCCUGGUCCGCCUGCCGCUGUCGCAGGUCAUGGAGACCGACGACCUCUCCCUCGGCACCCAGUGGUACCAGCUCCAGCCCAAGAGCAAGAAAUCCAAGAAGAAAUGCCGCGGAGAAGUUUGUCUGCACGUAUCAUUGUCCACAAGAACCCACGUAUCUGACGAGUCACAGAGUGUUCCUCAUCCUGCUUCAGAUGACUUAGCAUCCAGUUCAGACAGCCCCAUUGAGCGCAAAACAUUAUCGACAACAUGUAGCUGCAUCGACCUAUCAGCUGUUUCCAGCAUCGAACCCCGAGCAUCUCACAGCAGCUUCGAACGAUUCCCGGACAGCAUUCUGGAUCUUCCAGCCCGGAGUAGCGUGGAAGAAUUAGCAACCUCUGAACCUGGACCAGCAGCAGCUGCAGACACUGAUGUGACGCCAAAUCCGUCAUCGGUGGUAGAGGUCUUGUCCCGCUAUUUCUUCAGGAAACCUGAGAAUGCUACUCCAAAUGUGCACCCGACUACAUCAGACACUGAUCAGACAGUUGAUCAUCAGUUGCAAGAGCCAAACGUGAGCUCAUCAGAAGAUCGUGAAAUCCCUGAGAAAGGCACGGUGGUGCCUGAGUCGAGCCUUGAUGAGCUGCUCAAAGUCAUGGAGUCGAAAGAUCAAGGCAGUGAGAUGCCAGCUAACUUGCCUGGUGGUGUGCUGGUUGACGAAUCUUAUGUCGCCGCGCCGACCGAGUUGAACUCUCUCCUGUUCUCGCCGAAUUCAGAUUUCUGGCCAGCAGUGGCAGAGCUUCAAGGAACAAGUGGGUUUCAGAUUGAACCAUGGAAACUUGACAGCAAUGAGAGCUGUGUGCAAAGAACAUUGACUUACACAAAAGCUGCAAGCAAGUUGGUUAAAGCUGUGAAAGCCACAGAAGAACAGAAGUACCUGAAAGCGGCCGCAAAUUCUUACGCGGUGUUUUCUGUUGUCAGCACUCCUGAUGUUCCCUGCGGAAAUUGCUUUAAGGUGGAGAUACUGUACUGUAUCACACCAGGUCCCCAUCUGUCAUCUGAAGAGCAAACAUCUCAUCUUACUGUUAGCUGGAGGGUAAACUUUGUUCAGAGCACAAUGAUAAAAGGAAUGAUUGAGAACGGUGCAAAACAAGGCAUGGCCGAGGGUUAUGCCCAAUUCUCUGAAGUACUAAACCAGAAGCUUAAAGUAGCCGAGCUUGAUGAUGCUAAUUCAAACAAAGAAAAGAUUUUAGCUUCAUUACAUGCCCAAAAGGAAUCAGGUUGGCGGUUGAUUGUCCGCUUUCUCGGGAACUUCACAUUCAUAUUCUCUGUUGCCAUAGCACUAUAUGUUAUAGCACACCUUCAUUUGUCCAAGCCCGAUGUGACGCAUGGGCUUGAGUAUUUUGGUCUUGACCUUCCAGAUUCAAUUGGGGAGGUUGUAGUUUGUGCAGUUUUAAUUCUUCAGGGGCAGAGCAUUGUCAAAGUAACACGGCGCUUCUUAAGUGCAUGGAAACAAAGAGGCAGUGACCAUGGGGUCAAAGCUCACGGUGAUGGUUGGUUGUUGACUGUUGCACUCAUCGAAGCCACUGGUAUUACAGCUACUGGUUCAUCUGACCUAUUUGAUCUCUAUGUUGUUUUUACAUGCAAUGCUAAGAGGAAAACAAGCUCAAUUAAAUUUCAGACAUCAGAUCCAAAAUGGAACGAGAUAUUCGAAUUUGAUGCUAUGGAUGAUCCUCCAUCAAGGAUGGACGUUGCUCUUUAUGAUUCGAGUGGGCAAUGUGUCAUUGGUCACACAGAAGUCAACUUUUUGAAAAACAAUUUGUCAGAAUUAACUGACAUAUGGCUUCCUCUCAAUGGGAAAUGUGAUCAAGCAAGUAACCCUAAAUUGCAUUUGAGAAUAUUUUUGAACAACUCGAGGGGGACUGAAGUUGUCAUGAAUUACCUAGCAAAGAUGGGAAAAGAAGUUGGUAAGAAGAUAAAUUUGCGGUCAACCCAAACAAAUGUAGCAUUCCGAAAGCUGUUUGCCCUCCCUCCAGAAGAGUUUCUCAUCGACGAUUUCACCUGCCAUCUGAAACGGAAGAUGCCACUUCAGGGCCGCCUCUUUUUCUCUCCAAGAAUAGUUGGAUUUUAUUCCAACAUAUUUGGACACAAAACCAAGUUUUUCUUUUUGUGGGAGGACGUCGAUGACAUCCAGGUUAUCCCUGCUACACUGUCCAUCGGUAGCCCGUCUUUGAUGAUCCUCCUUCGAAAGGAUAGAGGUUUAGAAGCAAAACAUGGUGCCAAGGGAACAGAUCAUCAUGGAAGACUCAAAUUUAUUUUUCAAUCUUUUGUUUCCUUCAAUGAUGCUUACAGGAUAAUCACAGCAAUUUGGAAAAUUCGAGCACUCAGUCCAGAACAGAAGGGGGAGGCGAUUGAAAAAGACGAAGUGAAAGAACUGCUGCCUGAAGAAUGCGGAUCCUUGUUCACUAAUGCGGAUGUUAAAAUGUCUGAAAUAUUUUCAUCAGUUCUUUCUGUUGAUGUUGAGUCCUUGAUGGAGAUGUUUUCAGGAGGUCCCCUGGAGCACAAAAUGAUGCAAAAGGCCGGCUGUGUAGACUACACUGCCACACAAUGGGAACUUGUAGGAUGCAAUAUACAGCAGCGGCAAACAAGCUACAAGUUUGACAAAAACUUGUCUCGGUACGGAGGAGAAGCGACCACCACUGAACAGAAGUAUAGCUUGGUCAACCAAGAUGGCUGGGCCAUUGAAAAGGUGAUGACCCUCCAAGGUGUUCUACUUGCAGACUACUUCAAUCUCCAGAUGAAGUACUUUAUCACGAAUAUACCUUCGAAACCAAAUACCUGCAGUAUCCUGGUUUUGUUGGGGAUUGCCUGGUUAAAGAGUACCAAGCAAAAGAAGAAGGUCACGAAGACUAUUAUUUCCAAUACCUCAAAUAGAUUGAAGGAACUCUUUGCUGAAGUCGAGAAGGAGCUUACAUCAAGAAGCGGUAGCCUUCUUAAUGCAGCAACUGGUCCCACUACUACUUAAAUGUUAUCAAUAUCACAUACAAAAAGUAUUACAAAAUUCACAUCAAAGCAAUUCCAGGGAGUGCCCCAAAAUUAACUAGCAUGCAGGUACAAGCUAACAUCCGUACAGCACCAAAAGUAGAUUGGCCAUUGCAUGAAUCAAAUGUAUAUGAAGAACCGAGCACAGUGGAUAGCUUUUUUGUGAUAUCUUCCUGUUCACGGUGUGACCUGCUUCAGCGCUCUUGCAUUGCCGGUAGAAAUCUUACAGAGAUGAGAGCUAUAAGUGCUUUAAUGUAAAUAGAUUGUUUCAGGAACGCUUCGCAGAAAGUGGUGCGCAGAGUUGUGUAUGUCCAGCUGACAUAUAUAGUUAAAGGACUGUAACUUUCGCUCAUGGAUGUAAAAUAGAAAAACGUGGGGGAAAAUAUGCAAGAUCAAAUUCAGAGUAUGCUUUGUCUUUU